AGAGACCGAUAGCGAACAAGUACUGUGAAGGAAAGAUGGAAAGAACUUUGAAAAGAGAGUGAAAAAGGGCUUGAAAUUGUUGAGAGGAGAAGUGAUUGGAGCCUAUCCU
rnacentral:rRNA from 1 species